GGCUGUACCACAUCCCAGUUUAGGGUUUUCACCAUUUGAACUUGUUGUCAUAAACAGAUAGCUAAGGGUUAAUGUCUCUUUCACCUGAAACACCUGACCAGAGGACCAAUCAGGAAACCGGAUUUUUUCAACUCUGGGUGGAGGGAAGUUUGUGUCUGAGGUCUUUGUUUUCUGUCUACCUGCUUUCUCUGAGCUUUGGAGAAGUAUUUCUGCUUUCUAAUCUUCUGUUUCCAAGUUGUGAGUACCAAAGAGUUUGUUUCUUUUGUAUUUACAUGAAUAUAGUGCUGGAGUGCUUUGAUUUGUAUUCUUUUUGAAUAAGGCUAUUUAUUCAAUAUUCUUUUAAGCAAUUGACCCUGUAUUUGUCACCUUAAUGCAGAGAGACUAUUUGUAUGUAUUUUUCUUUCUUUCUUAUAUAAAGCUUUCUUUUAAGACCUGUUGAAGUUUUCUUUACUGGGAAACUUCAGGGAAAUUGAGUCUGUACUCACCAGGGAAUUGGUGGGAGGAAGAAGUCAGAGGGAGAUCUGUGUGUGUUAGAUUUACUAGUCUGAUUUUGCAUUCCCUCUGGGUGAAGAGGAAAGUGCUUUUGUUUCCAGGACUGGAAUUACAGAGGGUGGACUCCCUCUGCUUGGAUUCACGGAGGUUGCUUCUGUGUAUC